rnacentral:rRNA from 1 species
GAGUGUCGGUAGGUAAGGGGUGGGAUGGAAUAGGUAAGAAAAAAAAGCUCAAUGGAAUAGGUUAGCAGGUGGAAGGCGUCGCUCCGUAGCGGAGGGUCUAGAGCGACGAAGAUGUGGGUGUGGCCGCGGCCGCGCGGCGUAGAGGGUUUAGGCAGGGACCUAGCUGGGCGGAGGAGGUCAGAAGAGAUAGGUGGUAGGCUUGGUUCUCGACAAAGGUAGUAGAGGUGAAGGGGUUCGACGGGGACAGCGACCGCGAAGGUGGCGCUACAAGUGCUACUGCCGGCCGACUCCCUAGGCAGCCUCCGCUGGAGGCGUUUGGCGGACCGCUAAAGAGGAGGCAGGUCUCGUGCGUCAGCUGCGAACGCGGCCGUUCAAACAAGUGGUACCGCUGGCGCGACCGCCCGACGCGGACCGGAAGCCACGGGAGAUUCGAGAUGCGCGGAAAGUGGAACGCAACGGAUACCACACGGGGACGGUACAGUCUUUUUUGGAACGACCCAGUACCACUUACCACACUUUACCUUAUCUUUCUUUUAAGAACACGAACGUGUCUCACCUUCGCUUACACUAGCCCCCCAGUGGCAGUUCUCUCACGAAGGAACCGAGCAAUGGUUUCCUUUUACCAGUGAUCAUAUGAUGAGAACGUCAGUGUUCAAGCAUCUACACACAAGACACUCGAUUUUCCUAGAUAAAGAUCGUAGAUUUCUUCAAUACCUGUAAAAUCAUAGAUAGACUACUUCAUCGUGAGAUCCUACCUAGUCAAAGAAUGACUCUGUACUACCAUAUAUAGAUCACUACAUUAUGACCUGUAUACUUGGAUGUUUACAUACGGAUACAUAUAUAGAUCUGUGCUACCUAACAACAGGAAAACCUACCUAACAACAGGAAAACCUACACUACAUCAUGACCUGAACACUUGGAUGUUUCACAUAUGGUUACAUACAUACGUCUGUACUACAUAACAACUCUAUAUAUAAUACAGAGUCAACUACACUGAAAUUAAUGAGAUGUAACAUAAGAUC